GCAUGGAAGAAUUCUGUCUCACCAUGUCUGUGGUGGAGACAGUCAGACACCAUGCAAAAGCUUUCUCUCACUUCUACCAAUAACUGGAUGAAUGCUGCCCUGUGCUUCAUCCACCCUUGUGAAUUGAGGACAACA